rnacentral:sRNA from 1 species
AUCUUUCGAAGAAGUCCGAGAAUCUCGCAACGCGCAUCGGCAGUUUCUCGUAGGGCGGAUA